ACCGCGAUCGCGGGUGGCCCGAUAUGCGG
rnacentral:misc_RNA from 1 species